rnacentral:sRNA from 1 species
UUUUUUUUUGGUUUUUG